GCCCCGUUGGCUCAGUGGUAAAGCGUAUCACUAGUAAAAUCAACAUGAAAUGAUAAGAUCACUGGUUCGAUUCCAGUACGGGGCA
rfam:Fusarium fujikuroi IMI 58289 draft genome, chromosome FFTJ_chr06